rnacentral:rRNA from 1 species
UGAGGAUAUGCACAAUGGGGAAACCUGAUGCAGCAACGCCGCGUGGAGGAUGACGCAUUUCGGUAGUGUAAACUCCUUUUAUGAGUCAAGAAAAUGACGGUAGCUCAUGAAUAAGCACCGGCUAACUCCGUGCCAGCAGCCGCGGUAAUACGGAGGGUGCAAGCGUUACUCGGAAUCACUGGGCGUAAAGGACACGUAGGCGGGUUGGAAAGUCAGAUGUGAAAUCCUACAGCUUAACUGUAGAACUGCAUUUGAAACUUCCAACCUAGAGUAUGGGAGGGGGAGAUGGAAUUAGUGGUGUAGGGGUAAAAUCCGUAGAUAUCACUAGGAAUACCUAAAGCGAAGGCGAUCUCCUGGAACAUUACUGACGCUAAGGUGUGAAAGCGUGGGGAGCAAACG